GCAGAUUGUGUCCAAGUCUUCUCCCAAACAGUUACAGAGGUUUUUGACAUAGAAGAGAAGAUUCGACGACUCAAACAAGCCAAUUUUACGGUCGAAGAACAACUCAGUGGGGCGGACAUGACUCGUCCAUCUAAUUCAAGUAGAUCUCUCGAAAUCUAAUGAAGAUAAAAAAUCUAAGGGGACGUAACUGGCACUUACUGUUCAUCGUCAACAGUAGACACCUGUCCCUUCAAGUCAUUGGAACUGAAAUGGUAUUUUUGGUUUCCAAUUACAAUAAAAAAAGAAAAAAAAUUGAAACUCAAGAAAGCAUGGGAGAGGAAAGACGAUUUCCUUUCAUUCUUG
rnacentral:lncRNA from 1 species